rnacentral:lncRNA from 1 species
UACUGUGAUAAAGAAGGCACAUUUCCUUAUCAGUACUCCAGAACUAAGACUGCCCACUCAUCAUAAUCCAACUGCUUGAACUUGAAGGGACCAUAGAGACGACCUACUCCAUCUGAAACCUGAAUAGGAUUCCCUUCUACAACAUUUCUUGCAGACAUAUAAGUGUUGCCAUGGAAAGAACAGUGAACCUGUCUCCAUCAUUUAUUAGCCUCCUAUGACUACAUAUAUUCAGAGUUUUUAGAAGGUAAUCUCAGCAUUCACAGCUGGUAGAACUGGGAAAAGCUUCUUGUAGAAGGUAUGUUUUUUUUUUUUUAAAUCUCUCACCUUUCAUAUUGGAAUCAAUAAUAAG